UACGGAGGGAGCUAGCGUUAUUCGGAAUUACUGGGCGUAAAGCGUACGUAGGCGGCUUUGUAAGUAAGAGGUGAAAGCCCGGAGCUCAACUCCGGAACUGCCCUUUAGACUGCAUCGCUUGAAUCCAGGAGAGGUGAGUGGAAUUCCGAGUGUAGAGGUGAAAUUCGUAGAUAUUCGGAAGAACACCAGUGGCGAAGGCGGCUCACUGGACUGGUAUUGACGCUGAGGUACGAAAGCGUGGGGAGCAAACAGG
rnacentral:rRNA from 1 species